UACGGGGGGAGCAAGCGUUGUUCGGAUUUACUGGGCGUAAAGGGCGCGUAGGCGGCCACCGCAAGUCGACUGUGAAAUCUCCGGGCUUAACCCGGAAAGGUCAGCCGAUACUGCGGGGCUAGAGUGCAGAAGGGGCAACUGGAAUUCUCGGUGUAGCGGUGAAAUGCGUAGAUAUCGAGAGGAACACCUGGGGCGAAGGCGGCCGGCUGGGCCGACCCUGACGCUGAGGCGCGAAGGCGUGGGGAGCGAACGGG
rnacentral:rRNA from 1 species